CGUGGGCGGGCGUCGGGGCAGCGGGGACCCCACGCGGCUGCAAGAGGAGGGGGCUUCCCCAAGGAUGCCCGGCGGCGGCUCCCCGCUCCUAGGUGCGAGCUGAGCCUGACCGGGAGCUAGCGGCGCGUAGCCAUGCCGGCGUGACGGGCGCCCCCGGCUGCCCGCGCGGGCCCCCGCGCUGCCCCACGCCGCGCUGUGCCGGCGCCGGGCCGCAGGAUGGGCUGUAUCCAAAGCAUCACCUGCAAGGCGCGGAUCCGGCGCGAGAACAUCGUGGUGUACGAUGUGUGCGCCACCAUCGACCAGUGCCCUACGCGCAUCGAGGAGACCUCGCCCAUCGUCCUGCGCUACAAGACCCCCUACUUCAAAGCCUCCGCCCGCGUGGUCAUGCCCCCCAUCCCCCGCCACGAGACCUGGGUGGUAGGCUGGAUUCAGGCGUGCAACCAGAUGGAGUUCUUCAACACCUACAGCGACCUGGGCAUGUCAAGCUGGGAACUGCCUGACUUGAGGGAAGGGAGAGUAAAAGCCAUCAGUGACUCAGAUGGGGUGAGCUACCCUUGGUACGGGAACACCACAGAAACUGUGACCUUGGUUGGCCCCACCAACAAGAUCUCCAGGUUCUCCGUCAGCAUGAAUGACAACUUCUACCCCAGUGUGACAUGGGCAGUGCCUGUGAGCGACAGCAAUGUGCCGCUGCUCACAAGAAUCAAGAGAGACCAAAGUUUCACAACCUGGCUGGUGGCCAUGAACACCACCACAAAGGAGAAGAUCAUUCUGCAGACCAUCAAGUGGAGGAUGAGGGUGGACAUUGAGGUGGACCCUCUUCAGCUCUUGGGGCAGCGGGCCCGGCUGGUGGGCAGGACUCAGCAGGAGCAGCCCCGGAUCCUGAGCCGGAUGGAACCCAUCCCCCCUAAUGCACUAGUGAAACCCAAUGCCAAUGAUGCCCAGGUCCUCAUGUGGAGGCCCAAGCGGGGUCCACCUCUGGUUGUGAUCCCUCCUAAGUAGAAGCAGACUGGCCUGACUGUGUGUGGAUCACAUGCUUCUGAGACAUGCAGUGAGGGGUACCCAGGGUGGCAGGAGCCAAACUGAAUUUCUGAGCCAAAGCAGACCUCUUGGUUUGCCAGCCUUUGCAGCCACUUUUGAAGAGUAGGGCUGCUCCUUGGGUGGUAGAACCAUAAUCCUUAGGAAAAAUCCCUUCCUCUUAGGAAUAAAGAAAUCACUGAUUUGACAGACUUGCUGUGAUUACCAUGCAAGUAGCCAUAUUUUGGAGCUGACCAGGAUGAUUCUUUUAUCUGAACUAUUGACCAUUUCUUUCCUGUGAGAUGCAGGGGAUAGAAACGAAAUUAAACAGUGCCUGUGGCAAAUGCUGCUUCCCAACCAAUUAGAAGUAGGAGUGAAAACAUCCACACCAGGUGGUCUCCUAGUAGGACAAGGAAAGCCCAGCAAGCACAACCACAUGGCAGAGUGAGAAGGAGGAAGUGAGCAAUGGCUGGCGGCUCCAGAAGCUGAAGCCCUGGACAGCUGAUUUCCCAUUAAAACGAGUGCCAUCCUGCCUACCUCCUCGCCUUCCUCCCAUCCCAUGACCAGUCCCUCCUACCCACCCUCCGUGGGCUGUGCAGCACUUGCCCGGAGCUGACUGGGCUGCCUGCUUGGCUCAUCGGGAGCUGUGUUGAAGUGGGGGGUGCGCCUGCUGUAUCUUUUUGUGUGUGGAAAGAUGGGGUUCAUUGUGAUCUCAAGUCCUUUCCCCAACCCUCAGAGUGAAGCCUCCUCGGGAUGAAGAGCUGGUCAGCCUGGACUUUAAAUACCUAACAUGACCCAGCCUUGGUUCCCAAACCCUGCCUUCCCUCCCUACGCUUUUGGAUGGGAAAUGGGGAAUAUGUAUCUCCCUUCCUCCUCCUCCUCCAUGUGGGUGGCCUCUCUAGGUUUCUCUAAGUUCUCUGAUCCUCAGAGAGCCAGGGCCAAGGCAGUCAUCUUGUUCCCUCUUCCACGGCUAGGCUGGGUGCCUUCAGGUGACCAGGGGCAGAAUGUAAGUCACCAGGAUCAGUGGGGUGAGGGGAAAACCACCAUAAGAGGGCAAAAAUGGUGUGCAUUGUUUAUUGGCUUGCUUACUGAUUUAUUUAUUUAUAUUUAUUAUACAACACUCAAUCCAUUUCCAUUUUUGAAGCAUCAGCCCCAGGAUUUGUCUUCCUGGCCCCAUAGAGCACAGUGAACUAUUUCUCUUUGAAGCUUCAGAAUAGAGAGGGAAAAUUUUCUCCUUACGCCCCAACACCUCCACCGCAGCCACAUUUUCAGCCAGACAUUGGAUUAGAAACCACCAGCUCAUAAGGCUGUAAAGCCACACAAAUCAGCAGAGGCUCGACUGUCCAGACAGCUCUCAGAAUCCUGCCUCCACCCAACCACCUUGCACCAGUCCACUCAUGCUCCUUUACUCGGGUGGGAAUUGGCCAGCCACCUUCAGCCUAACAGUGCAGAACAAAACUUCUCAUUCUGCUCUGAUGUAGUAUUCUUAACAUCACAUGCACAUUAGAAUCAUCUGAGGAGCUUAAAAAACGUCCAUGCCUGGUCCCCUGCCCAAACCAAUCAUAGCGUCUAAGGGUAGAUCCUGGGCAUCAGAGUUUUUUAAGUUACCCAGAUGACUCUGUGAAAACAGGGUUGAGAAGUUCUAAUAUCACCUCUCCCUUGCCCCUCCCCACCCAGAUCCUUUCAUUUUUACUUUCCAAGCUUUCUUCGGAGUCCUCUUCCCAUUCUUCCAGCCCUUUCUCCUCCCUGAACCUUCCCCCUCAGCUCAGCCAACCAUAGCAGAUCCCUGCAGAGGGGGUAGGUCCCAUGAGUGGUACUCUGAGGCUGGUUCCUGCAUCUAGCCUGGGGGCUGCUCCCAAACAGUUUCGAGCUUUUCUAGGAGCAGAAACGUAUCCCCUGCAAGAUUCUCUGUCCACCUGCACCUUCUCCAGGUGCCCAAACUCCAAAAGUUUAAAGGGCACUUUGGCGACAUUUCUGUCUCCAGGCCCCAUUCUUGAUGGUAUGGCCCAUGUAAGUCAUAUAACCCAAGCCUUGGCCAUUUCUGCAGAGCCAGUUGAGUUGAAUGAGGGUCUACUGUUAACAGAGGAAGGGGUCACAAUGCCCCCCCAGGCAAGUCCUUUUUCCAACAGCCAACCUUCUCAGCCAUCUAGGAUUUGGAUGCACAAUACAGCAACUGUUAUGCAUUCAAAUCCUAGAUGGCUGAGAAGAGGCAUCUCACCCUUCACAUCUACAAGAUCUCCACUGCUGAGUAUGAGUAGGGGUGUGUGUGUGUGUGUGUGUGUGUGUGUGUGUGUGUACAUGUACAUGUACACACACUACAUACAAACCAUCUAGAUCUAUAGAGAUGCCAGACUUCAUUUUACAUGAAAACAAUUGAGGGCUUUCAUUGUCUUUCACUUGAUGGAGUUUCACUAUACUAUGUUCAUGAUGGGCCCCAGUGAAUUCCAUAUCAGGUAUAUACACAGAAUGUAUAAUCCAUACAAACUGUUAGAUACACUACACACACACAGAAAGCCUAGGGAAACCUGUGAUGUAGUUAAGUUCAUUUUGCCGUCCCAUCUCCUCCAUCGAAGUAAUUUCCCGGGGCACACAAUUUCACACAUUCCUCUCAGCUGCCCAGCCAUUCCCUCUCCAGCAUCCCACACCACCAAGCCUUCCUCACCAUUGGUCCAAAUGUCCCUGCCCUGCGUCCCAUCUCUCAGGGUCCUACUCUCUGAUAGGUGACUGUUCAGUCAGUGGGUGCUAGAGUCGAGUGUUACCCUUCCCAGGUGACAUUUACAUUUUAAUAGGGGCUACUGAUAAUGCCUUAAUCCGAAAGAGUGGCUGUAGUGGUGGGAAUUUCAGGCACAGAAGUGGGCCAGUAAAGAAGAUUCUUUUGUAUCAGGAGGGCAUUUUAGAGCCCCCAAGUCAUACCUGUCUUUAAUCGCAGCCCUUCAUAAGUGCAUGAGCACGAGCAAGCACACUUACCUACAUUACACCCUCCAUAAUUCUGAGAUACCUCCCUUGCCUUGGCCCUAUCUUUAAAAAUGAAAAAAAAAUGAAAAAGAGAACUAGCUAAAUUAAUUUAGAUCUCACUGGGAAACGUAGCCUAUUUUUUCACCGGCUGCCAGCCAUCUGGCCCACCCCACCCUGUUCAAUUUCCCUUCUGCUCCUUCUCUUUUCAGCUACGACCGACCGUAUCAGUUAAUUUACUUGUGCUUGUCCUCUCUGCUCUCUCCUUACCCCGCUCCCCCCUGCCACCCCACCACCAUGUAUUUCCUUCUUUUACCGUUUCCUCCUUGGAAUUGUGCUGUGUUUCGCUGUCCUGGAGGACAGAAGAGCAGGUUAAGGCAUGAGCAUGUGUGUAUCACUUUGAAGAAAGAGAAACCAGGUAUUCUGCUACAGUUUGGAGAAAAACCCAAUGAAGGAAGAGAUGAAAGCUGGCUCUGCAGAGUGCCUUAAAAAUGACUUUAAUUAGGAAAUUCUGAGUUGUCGGUCUUCAGAUGUUACAUAAACUCAAACAGAUGUUGCAUUUCACUUCUCUGGGAUUAAAAAAAAUGUUAAAUACAGUGUGUAUUCAACAACAACAACAAAAUAUGUUUUCUCUUUAAUUUGGUCCUUAAAGAUGCAGUGCCUGGUUUUCUACAAAACCUGGGGCUGGCCCCAGGAACAAGCAAGCUCUGGAGCAUACAGAGGGCAGAUGCAGGAAUCCUGCCCAGCUAGGAAAGCCCUGGCAGGCUAAGGCACAAUGUUGCCAUUGAAUUUGGUCCAAAAGACAACUCUAAGAUGAGAAAAAGCAUGGACAACUAUAACGGAAAGGAAGGGAUCCUUACCCUUCUCCCUAAUGACACGCUUUGGUCUGAGUCUUUUGGGGCUGCUAUAACCAAAUAUUAUAAGUUGGUUACAAUAUAAAUACCAGAAAUGUAUUUCUUACUGUUCUGGAAGCUGGGAAGUCCAAGAUCAAGGCUUUGGCAGAUUCAAUGACUGGUGAGGCCCUGCUUUCUGGUUCAUACUUGGCACCUUCUAGCUGUGUCCUCGGGUGGCGCAAAGGACAAAUGAGCCUCCUUGGGCCUCUGUUACAAAAGCUCUGUUCUCCAGACCUCAUCACCUCCCAAAGGCCCCACCCCCUAAUACCAUCACCAUGGGGGUUAGGAGUUCAACAUAAGAAUUUGUGGGGGAUGCAAAUACUGGAACAUAGCACUCUCCUCAUCUAUGAUUUGGUGCUGUGAAAUUGGGAGGAAGAGAACAUUCUAGAAUCAGAGGAUACAGCUUGCCUUUCCAUCUCUUUCCUACUACUAUUUCUUCCUGGAACACCCUUGACCAGAAUCUGCUUUGCUUUUGCUAAAUGAUUUCCUUUAGCUUAAUGUUUGCAACCUAGGAUCUGACCAAAACAGGUCAUCUUAAAGUCUGAGUUCCUGAAGGCAGUUAGGUUUCUGGAAUGUUGCCUUCUCUCCCUGAGUGUUGGUAUCUGUAAAUAUACCAACCCCUCUGCCCCCACCCUGCAGUUCCCACUCUUGUGGGGAUGAGAGUGGGAACUGCAGGGUUGGGAGAGAGGUCUUGAAAUGUACUUGGAUUCUGAAAACUAUGGAGGUUGGCAGGACUGAAGACCAUGGCCCUGUCAGCCCCAGCCUAUCAGAGCCCUCCUACCCUCCCCACCACUUGCACUCUGACCUUUCCACAAGAUAUGUGACCCUUCCAUGGGGUUGGCAGUUUUAAGAGGGCUGAGAGUCACUAACUCACAUUUAUUCAGUCAGUCAUUCUCUCUCUCUCUGUCAUACACACACACACACACACACACACACCAGUCAAAAGAGGGAGAGCAAGGAGAUCCAGAUAUUGAAAUAAAGAAUGGUAAAUAGUGGUUAUCACUCCUGGAAAAAAAGAUUUAAGAAAAGAAUCUGUCAUGCAUGUCGUGGGGUGAGGGAGUAUUUUUAAAUAUACAUAAGUCUAACCUAAGUCACCCCUCUACCCUCACCAGGUCACCUGAGCAGCACAUGCUCAAGUCUGGAGCAAGCAGCUUUGUUGACGCAUUUUAGAAAAGGGAUUCCUGCAUCUUCUCUAUCAGAAUGCAUGAUCUCUGGAAAGAACAAUUGGCACUUUUUUCUUAGUUCAUUCAUUUCAAGAAAUAAAUAAGGAACUGGCAAUUGCU